rnacentral:lncRNA from 1 species
CCAGAAACGAAAUGUCUCCUUGAAAGGGAAGGGUGGUCCUGGGAGGGGACAUUAGGACUUAGCACGAGAGCCACCGGGCUCUGGGCUGCGGAGGAGGUUGGAGGUGACCUUCCAGAAGGAACGUGGGACAAGGGAGCAAGUGAGGACCUGGUGGGUAGUGGUUACUCUGUGAGAAGCCAGCAGCACCAACCAAAUAGAAGGUGGAGAAGUGGCCCCCAGCUUCCCAGUUUGGGUUUGGGCCAAGACAACUAAGAAAAGGGUCCACCGUCUUCACUCCAGGUCAGAUGACCCUGCAUUGUAUCAAGUAGAAAAAUGUCUAACCAAGACAGAGGAGAAUACGAACCCUCUCAGCUCAUAGACAGGUGAUGAUGUGGUUUCCAACUGACUUUCAAGCAAACAGAUUUCCAAGCGUGCUUGAAGAGGGCAGUAAAUGAGAAGGCACAAGCUGCUAAAGGAAGUGAUCUGCUCUGCUGUAUGCCCGCCAUGGUGUCUUGCCUUCUACCAAUUCAGAACAAUGGGGCUGCUCACUAUCGACUGAAGUGUACAGAACUGUACCAAGUAGACUUUUCUUCUUGACGAGUUGAUUGUCUCUGGUAUUUUGCUAUAGCAAUGUGAAGCUGACUCGUUCACCUCCUAGAUAUGAACAAAAUGGCAAGAAAGGAAAAAAGCCUGGAUCGAAGUUAGAAUCUUGCUCAGGACACACAACAGCAAGGGAUUUCUAAACCUACUCAUGCCUAAGUUUUAGCUAAUACCCUUCUCUUCACAGAGGCAAAACAAAAACAAAAAAAGAACAGGUAACCUGAUUUCUCUUUGUUUCAGACUCUUACUCUGAAGGAGGACGAUCAGAACGGCAUAGCUGCCUUCUUGGCCUGUCACAGAAUUAAAUGGCAAAGGGUUCCGAGGACUAUCUAGCAUAUACUGCUGUCACUACAGGGGCGUGGUCUGUAAGAGGGAUAACCCAGCCCCCUAAUAAGGCAAGCAUGUCAUUUUCUGUGACAGAUGCAAGAAGAGAGAGGGGUUUGCUGGAAAUCGUGGCUGACCACCUCAGAAGGACCCAGAAGACCCGAACUUUCUGGUUUUGCCUUUCACCUUGCUCUGAAACUUCUCCCAACACUGGAAGACAAGAAAGUUCCGCCCUACCUCCGCCCCACCUCCGCCCCCCGGACCAGGGAGAUUCUUCUCUUUGGGCAAGCAGGCUUGCUGGGCAAUCGUGAGCUGCUGAGUUCCCAUCCCCAUAGAAAGCUGGACAUGGACAUGCAUGCCUGUUUCUGCAGCAUGCUCAACUCCAGGAGCUCUCUGGUCUCCUAUAAAUAAAGGAUAACACAUUCGGCCUUCUUACCAUUUCAAAAUGCAAAAUACUGGAGCUUCCUCAAACCCACGGGCCACCUCAGCCCGAAAAGAUAUCUUCCCUGUUCUACUCCCUCCACUUCCUGUCUGAACAGGAAGUGACCCGUUCCUAGCUCCUAUGCCAUGUAGCCAAGGCUCUGGACCAAACAAAUCUUUGCCUCAGCAGAGGCUCCGGUAUACGAUUCCAUUCCGGUUUCACACCCAGUGACCGAGGACCACCUAGGAGCCAUGAGUGAUGUCAGAGGCUACCCUCACAGCAGGUGUCAACAGGAAGGAGACCCGGCCAGAAACUAGGCUGAGAUUCAACUGUUGAGACGCAGUGGCGCCUCUGCCUCCUGGCAUCCCUCACCGUGAAUGAGCUCAGACACAUCUGUUCCCAGCCACAGCGGGCUAAGACUCAAUUUCAACAAGGCAGUGGCUUGAUCCCCAUGACUCCUGUUCCUACCAUUGGGCUGGGCUGAGCUGGGCUGUUUAUGUCUUUGUGCCAGUGAGGCUGGCUGCUGGUGAGGUGGAGGUGCUCUUUACAGCUGCCUCCCAUGGGCCUCUUCUGCUAUCCUUCAAUUCUCCCACCCCAUACCCCCUGGAAAUAGAAAGUCUGACCAGAGCCA